rnacentral:miRNA from 11 species
CGACAGCACGAAACUGCCUUCA